GCAGCAACGCCGCGUGGAGGAUGACACUUUUCGGAGCGUAAACUCCUUUUGUUAGGGAAGAAUAAUGACGGUACCUAACGAAUAAGCACCGGCUAACUCCGUGCCAGCAGCCGCGGUAAUACGGAGGGUGCAAGCGUUACUCGGAAUCACUGGGCGUAAAGGACGCGUAGGCGGAUUAUCAAGUCUCUUGUGAAAUCUAACGGCUCAACCGUUAAACUGCUUGGGAAACUGAUAAUCUAGAGUAAGGGAGAGGCAGAUGGAAUUCUUGGUGUAGGGGUAAAAUCCGUAGAUAUCAAGAAGAAUACCUAUUGCGAAGGCGAUCUGCUGGAACUUAACUGACGCUAAUGCGUGAAAGCGUGGGGAGCAAACAGGAUUAGAUACCCUGGUAGUCCACGCCCUAAACGAUGUAUACUAGUUGUUGCUAAGCUAGUCUUGGCAGUAAUGCACCUAACGGAUUAAGUAUACCGCCUGGGGAGUACGGUCGCAAGAUUAAAACUCAAAGGAAUAGACGGGGACCCGCACAAGCGGUGGAGCAUGUGGUUUAAUUCGAAGAUACGCGAAGAACCUUACCCGGACUUGAUAUCUAACAAAUCAUCUAGAGAUAGAAGAGUGUCUGCUUGCAGAAAUGUUAAGACAGGUGCUGCACGGCUGUCGUCAGCUCGUGUCGUGAGAUGUUGGGUUAAGUCCCGCAACGAGCGCAACCCACGUCAUUAGUUGCUAACGGUUCGGCCGAGCACUCUAAUGAGACUGCCUUCGUAAGGAGGAGGAAGGUGUGGACGACGUCAAGUCAUCAUGGCCCUUAUGUCCGGGGCGACACACGUGCUACAAUGGCAUAUACAAUGAGAAGCAAUAUCGCGAGAUGGAGCAAAUCUAUAAAAUAUGUCCCAGUUCGGAUUGGAGUCUGCAACUCGACUCCAUGAAGCCGGAAUCGCUAGUAAUCGUAGAUCAGCCAUGCUACGGUGAAUACGUUCCCGGGUCUUGUACUCACCGCCCGUCACACCAUGGGAGUUGAUUUCACUCGAAGCCGGAAUACUAAAUUAGUUACCGUCCACAGUGGAAUCAGCGACUGGGGUGAAGUCGUAACAAGGUAACCGUAGGAGAACCUGCGGUUG
rnacentral:rRNA from 1 species